GAGUUUGAUCGUGGCUCAGAGCGAACGCUGGCGGCAUGCUUAACACAUGCAAGUCGCACGGUCAGCAAUGGCAGUGGCGGACGGGGUGAGUAACACGUAGGAAUCUAUCUCUGGGUGGGGGACAACAGUGGGAAACUACUGCUAAUACCGCAUGAUACCUGAGGGUCAAAGGCGUAAGUCGCCUGGAGAGGAGCCUGCGUCUGAUUAGCUUGUUGGUGGGGUAAAGCCUACCAAGGCUACGAUCAGUAGCUGGUCUGAGAGGAUGAUCAGCCACAUUGGGACUGAGACACGGCCCAAACUCCUACGGGAGGCAGCAGUGGGGAAUAUUGGACAAUGGGCGAAAGCCUGAUCCAGCAAUGCCGCGUGUGUGAAGAAGGUCUUCGGAUUGUAAAGCACUUUUGGCAGGGACGAUGAUGACGGUACCUGCAGAAUAAGCCCCGGCUAACUUCGUGCCAGCCGCCGCAGUAAC
rnacentral:rRNA from 1 species